rnacentral:lncRNA from 1 species
UUAUUUUCACUCGGCCAACAGGUACCACGACCGAAUCUAAAUUCCCCAAACCUAAAUCCUCUCAACCACUUCCCCCCGCCGCCGACCGCCCGCUCGCCCGCUAUCUCCAGCAUGUCGUCACGGCGACAGCCAGGUUGCUGCCUUGUCUCCUUCAUCCUCGUGCACCCCCACUGCUUAGUCUACCAACACUUCCAAUCCUAGAUUGUGCGCUGCAGUUCGGGGAGAGGCCAAGGCCUGGUGGUGGACGCCGUCGUCCCUCUCAGAUUUGAGGCUGAGAGAGAGAGAGAGAGAAGGGGUGGGGGAGGAAGGAAGGGAGAGGCGGGUCACCUGCGAGAGAGAGAGCACUCGCACCCUCGCUCGUCACCCAGGGUCCGCCACCACUGCCGCCACAAAGGGCUUCAUCCGAUCUGUGCUCGCCGGUUGACUGCUGUUGCUUCCCCUCCCCCAGCGGUGAGUAUUCUUUUCACUCUUCUCCCCCUCUCCACCCCUCCAAACUAGUGCUGCCGUUAGUUUAGUUGUUCGAUUUUCCCUUUUCCGUUCAGAUUAGCCAUGACUUGGGAUAGUACUUCUAUCCUGCAAGCAGUGUUUGGCUGUGAGCUCGAGCUCAAGUAGAACGCCAGAAAGGGGCUCUAUCUGCUAAUGGGGUAGCCGGCAAUGUAGUCUAAGAUCUACAUCUCGUGUGAUUACUGGAUAUGAGAGGAUGAGAACUUGAGAAGAACAAGCUUGAUGCUAUUAUUGCAUAAAAAAUCUAUGGUACAGGUAUUCCUUUUAGUAGUGUUGCAGGAAACAUUAACUAGCUACUUUUUUAUGAACUGGUUGUGAUUGAUUUGUGAACUUGAGAGCUUGUGAGUUGUAAUUUGUGAUGUUUGAACCCUUGCGAGACUAUUAUAUUAUGCUAUGUGUGCUUGAAGGUUAAUACAAGGGUAUUCAUCAUAUGAAAAAUCAUUACUUAAUAUAUAUAUAUAUACGAUCCACAUAUCUAUGCUUUGAGAUGAGGGACAACCCUGAGAACUAGCUUCAGGUUCCACAAAAAGUCCAAAUAAUCAUACUAAUAUUUCAGUCUUUUGUUUAACCAUUGUAGAAUUCUUGCAAAACAUUACUAUAUUUAACUUAGUUCAGUUUUUCUGGAAUCAAGAUAAAAUACAUAUCUAGCAAUUUAUAUUUCUACAGUAACGCUUCUAUAGAUUUUACCUGCUUCAGCUUGUUAUCAUAAAUCCUCUUUUAUGCUAACUGGUUAACUUGUUUUAUAUUUCUACAGUAACGCUUCUAUAGAUUUUACCUCUUUCGGCUUGUUAACUUGUUUUGAUGCAUCUUUUAUCCCGCUUCAGCUUGUUAGCAUAAAUCCUCUUUUCUCCUGAUUCAGUUGAUUAGCAACCACUAUUGUUCAGGAAUUUCAAGUGGCGCACAUCUUGUCUGGUGAGCCGACGACCGGACAUCUUUUGUCAAGGUUUGUGCCCACUGAAAACUCUUGCUGAGGAUAUGAAUGAUAUUCAUCGCAAACUGAUGUAGCUUCUCAAUAUAUGUACUGUAUUAGAUUGUUUUGAUUUAUAUCAGAUGCGCUAUCUUUUGGUAUGUUCAACCAUUCAGGUUGUGUUACUGUUUCCUAAGUUCAGGUUGGAGGAGUAUGAAUAUUGAUAAUAGUCGUGAUUCUUGUGGAGUAAUUUAUCACAGAGUUCCUUUCAGGCUUAUGCCAUAUCAUCAAUGAACCAUAUGGAUCGAUGUUUUCACCAUGUUUUAGUUCCAUGUACUUAUAGUAAUAGCUGAGAACAUGGUGCAUUUUGUUUAACCAUUUCCUAAUCCACACAGCUUUCAGAAUGCUAACGCAAGUACUUAGACAAGCGCACAUCAGACUUUCAUGGUACGACGGUGCGCCCAUCAAUUGUUAUGUGUUCUACUUAUGUGUUCUACUCUGCCUGUGACAUGACCAUCAACUUCAUUUUACCGCUGGACAAGAAAUGACAUGCAUCUCAUGUCCACGAUCCUACUUAGAAACAAUAACUAUCUAGACUUAACUAUUGUAAAAUAUAAAUGUUAAUAUAUUGUCUAGACUUAACUAUUAAUCAGGGCACACAAUGUUAAUAUACUUCAAAUAUGGCUAAGUUGGUCUUAACUAUUGUAAAAUAUAAAUGGCAAUGAUAAUGCAGACAUAGAUCAUAUUAUUGCAUUACCCUUUUCCAAGAAAAUAAUGGAAGUACGUGUAUGAUCUUUCUGUGAAAUACAUUAUCAUGCUUUUGCAAGUUCCACGUUUUUCAAUUUCAGAUAAAGGAAUUGGAUCUUUCUUGGAGGCUCGGUGUUUCUUAACUGAGGCAUCUGCAGCAAUCUGUGUGUUGUCAGGUCCCAACGGGUCAAAGGAUUCAUCCUCCUUAUUCUGUCAGAUUUGCUUAUUCUUUCCAUGCAUACUGUACGAUCUUGAAAAGGUCAGAUUUGAGAGUACAUCUGCUGAAUUUUAAUUUUCAAAGAUGAUGAAUAUAUAUUGUAUAAUAUAAAUCAAAAUAUCAUAUAUUGAAUUUGUAGUUUCAUUCUCCAUUUCAGAUGAUGUCGUCUUCAGAUGUUGUUGUCUACCUAACCUAUUAUAGUUAUUUGUUCUCAAUCUGUCAUUACUCCAAGCCCAUCUCAAAAGCCUACUUUCUUGAAUUGUAGGAUGGAGAAUAAUACUGCUAUAACAGACGUUGAGGCCAUAAAACAACAUCUACUUACACUUAAGCCAAGACAUGAUCAUGAGGUUUCUUUUCAAUUGCAUAGUUCAUAGUUGGAUUUUUACAAGAACAUUUGCUUCCCUGUUUGGAUGUCGUGAGUCACAACAAGGUAUGAGCUGCUGCUAUGUUUUCUAUAUUCUAUCUCAGUAUUUUUCUUCCCUUAAAAUCUUUGUACAAAUUAUUCCAUUUCAUGUUAGUUGAUACUUUGUGUUUGCAAACAAAGCUCAGACCUAUCUCUCUCAGGGCAUUACUUCCAUACCACACAUGAUUUUAUUUUCUUUGCAGACAUCAACGAUAGGGACCAUGCUAUUGAAUGCAUUAGCUGAUUCAGAUGCCAACGGGGAAUUCUGCGAAGAGACAUUUGUGGCCAAUGUGCAGGUAUGCACGAUAAUGUGUGUGUUUCGCAUUAUCCAUUUGUUAUUGAACCUUUGUCUCUAUUCUGUCAUCAAUCAAAGGCUUCAUGCUGAGAUUGAACCAACCAUGAAAAUGAGAACCGAAGAAAAGAUUAUUAUCUCUUUCUCCCAUCAUUGGGAUCAACCCUUUUAGGCUUUCAGGUUGAGCAGCGACUUUACAUAUAAACGGACCUCCGUAACAAUUUGUACAGUGCUAGGCAAUUGAAGAAAUAUGAUAGCUCUAAAAUGCAUGCCACUUUAUUUACAAUUCUGUGCAAUUAUGGAGCAGAUAUUGAGCCCACAUAGUGCACUUCAUUAUACAACAUAUAACAUGAACGAUAUGUAAUAUUUAUCUGUCAUUACUUGUCUGGCUCGAACUCAGUAGGACAUAUCUUUUCCUGCUCACAUGGUUUCUAAAGUCAGUGACUGGCAGUUUUGGCAACACAUGGUACAUGCGCUCGGAAUGAAGGCCUGGAUGUGCUGAACAGGUUUGGCACACACUACUGGACACACUUGGUUUGAUACUACGUAACCAAAUAGACUCUGGAUUUAACACAAUUCAGCUAUAUGGUCUCCCCAAUUUAUUUCAGAGGGCUACACACUCAUCAAAUCAGUGGAUCAGAUGGAAAUUAUGCUUCUGACCCAGCUGUUAAAAUAUACAAAGCUGCAUAAAUCAACUUGAACAUUUUAGAUGUCUCAUCAAGACCUCCUCAUGUGUCUCUGUUUAUAUUCACCCAUCGAGAUUUCUAUCUAUGUACUUUGCCAAUAUGUGUCAUAUAUAAUGUAAUUAACAAAUGGGCCUACAUAAAACCUUUAAUUGACUGCCACUCAACCAAGCUCUACAGUCUACUAUUUGUUCUUCAUCUUUAAUAAACAAAAAAAUGAAAAAUUUAGAUGAGUAAGAAAACAACUUUUUACUAUUUUAUCAUUGGUUAUCGUGCGUGCAAUUUUACUAGUUUCCUUGGUCUGAAAGCCUUACCAUCAUUUUCUUCUUGCAGGCGGCCAUGGCAAGAGCAUAUUGUGCAGAGGACGUGGAUGAGAAGAAACUUAUGGUUCUCAUUCAAUCUUUGUGGAACUCUCUUUAUGUGCGAUUGUGCAUUUGUUGGAACCUUUUUUCUGUGCACUUGCACAAGUAUUCUGUUGUGCACAUGUAAAAUUAUUUUGAUGUGUCCUUGUUAGGUGUUGAACCUUAAUGCGUGGAGUCAGUGGAUGAUGUAUUGUAUUUGAUGUGAUAUGCUAUUGAAAUGAAAUAUACAUUUUAUUUGCAAUCUUUUAUUUUGUUGUACUUAUUUUUAAUGGGCCUAUCUUGAGAUAUGCGUGCUUCUAGCAAAAAAAAUGCUU